UAGCCGCCAACGUUCGGCCGCUGCAGCAAUUCGGCCGGCAGCACCGGUGGCGGCAGCAGCAGCCGUGAUGUGGGUAGAGCGACAUCGGCGGCGCCGCAAGCGAGAGUGGCGCUGGGUCCAGGUGAGAACAGCCUCGGCGCGUCUUCCUUCGUCUUCCUGCGGGCGAGGGGAAAGCCGAGGGGGGUGGGCGAAGAACUGGAACGGGCCCUCUUGCCGCUUCGCCAGUCGAAAGGGAAAGCGGUUAAACGGCGCGGAUGUCUCGGUCGCCCAGUCAGUCUGGCCAGCAGACGUCAACGAGGAAUGACCAUGUGGUGCGAACGACUUGUCCUGCUCGUGGUCUCGCUGCUCCUUGCCGGCUCCUGCGCCGGACAGUGGGCCGUCGUCAAGGGCUACCGCGUCGUCAUGAAGGCGGAUAUCGUCCGAGACUUUCCGGGUAUGUGCUACGACGUGAGUAGUUGCUCGGCGAGGGCCGUCAACGAGAGCUGGGCCAUCGGCGUCUGUAGCAGGGCGGCAUGCGAGAUGGACGAGUCCGGCAUCCUGCUUGAAGUCCACUACGCGUGCCCCCGGCUGCAGAACCGCCCGACACUUCUGUGCGACAUCAUCGAGGACAAGCGUCUACCGUUCCCGGCCUGCUGCCCACGCAUGAUCUGCCAGCGCCACAAGAAGCAGCCACCGCCAACGCAGACGCAGCUCAAGCCCUUCACACCGCACGUCAGCGUCGACAAGGAACUGCGCAAGAUACCGUUCGUCCUCAAAAGGUUCCUAGAGGUACAGAACACCACGCUGCUGGACGCCAUCAUCCUCAACCGCAUCAAGGCCCUCGAAGCCGCCGCAGUCAACGCAAGUGCCGCCGCGAAUGGAACGGCGGGCGACGCAGCCUUCCGUGGACCUACGAGCCUGGACGACAUGGUGGAGGCGGCUCUACUAACCACGCAGGGUCCUGGUGUCACGACGCAGGACACCACGCCUUUUGGAACCACAGACGGCGCCAUCACAACGACGUCACCUGUGCAAACAACGCCGACCGAGUCGCCAGUCGAGAUCAUACGUGGAACUGGCUUCCAGAGUGACUCCUUGCAACAAGAGCCGCGAAAAAGCGUGACGGUGCCGUCUGUCGGCAUCGAAGAUGACGACGAACUUUUCCUGAACGACGCUCCCGUGGUUCCAUCGUCGGAAGCAGAGUCAACCACAAGAGUUCCGGAGACUCCCAAGACUACCACGACAUCCAAACAGCAGUUCCCCGAGGAGGUUACCGAGCUGACCCGGACAGCCGUAUUCGCCUCCGACCGCACGAACAAGCCUGCAGAGACCGUCACGACUGAACCGCCCAGAAGCGAACCGUCUACGGAGAUCUACGACGAAACGACCACCAGAUCGCUCGGCCUCACUGUCCCCGAGUCCAUCUUUGGAACCACAUCAUCGCCUUCGGCAGAGCUGCUGCUUGAAACUACGCCUGCACCCCCUACGACAACCGAGAGGACCGAACAGACCACGAUGAAAGAGGCGCAAGGUGAUGCCGGAAAGAAGAGCGGUAACUUGCCGACCAUUCUCAGGUCCCUUGUAGACAACGUGUUCGACUACUACGACUACAUCGACUACUACGUUCCAGGCCAAAAGCGCAACCUGACAACGCCGGCUCAAGAAAAGCCCGGAGACCGGCGGAGGAUCCCAGAGUCCAUGAUGGCACUGGUCAAGGAGCAGCUAAACAAGCAGAAAGACACAAAUGAGUCGUCCUUAUUCGUCGAGGACCUUCAGGCGGAUCAGCCCGCACCAAAAGACGAUCCAGAAUCCACCACGCCGGACCCGGACAACCAAGAGUUCCAGAAAGAACUAGUCACAAAGAUGGCCGUGGACAUUCCUCGUGUGACGAAGCAAAAUGUUCAGGACACGACGACCGCAUUCGCUAGAACAGAGACGGCGACACAAGAAGCCACUCGCGCGGACGUCGCAUUCACCACUGCAGCUACGCCCACCGAGGCGACCAGCACCACCACAACGAGCAAACAGAUCACUGACUCGACGGUCGAGGGCAGCACGGCCACAACCACCCAAUCUACGGGACAAGACACGACUCUUACGCUGGUCAAAAGUGUCGGAACACAGUCGCGAGCUAAAGUGAACCUGGCAAUCGAGAAUCUUUCUUCCGAGAAACCCGAGGAUAGGACGGCGACUGGUGUUCCUGCGUCAACGGUUACAACUUCGGCAGUUCCGCAGUCUACCUUGACACCAACAACCCUGAGCAGGACCACAACUGUACCUACCACUCUGUCUACGCCAGCCUCAACACAAGAGGUGACGACAGCCGCAGUCACAACGACGAGGACAACGGCUCCACCGGAAACGUCCCGCCAGCCAGAGACAACGCAGUCUGCAACUCGCUCUUACCAAACCGUAGGAGAGACCGAGACCGUCUUCGUCGGCACGACCAACGCCAACGCACCCGGAACCACGUCCGCAGUGACGACGACGUCUACUCCAAGGGGAACAGAGACAUCUACAACACCAUCAACAACUAUCGUUCAGCAGACUACUACGACGACGAGAAAUGUUGAAACGACAAGACCCGUCACGACAACGAAAACCGCCGGCACGACAACGACCGGCACCCGCCAACCUCAGACUGUGACGACGACGACAGGGUCGAGAGCAAGUUCGGAUGUCACCGAAACGACUCCACAGGUUCAAACGACGAUUCAAACACAGCCCCUCCUGUCCGGACGUAACGACACUAUCCCUCUGCUCACGAGUCCAGAGCCCGCUACUGCUAGCGUCACGGCACCAGCCACACCUACCACUCCACCCUCUGCGCCAACCAGGACUUCCGACAGGUCUCUCGAUGGAGGCCCGAACACGGUGCGGGUGAACGUGCUGCAAAAGGACGGCGCCCAACAACAAAGGUCGGGUAACACCACGACCAAAGGCCAGCCCACGCCGCCGACCAACAACAACGACGUCGAGUACAUUGACUAUGUCUAUUACUACGACUACAUCGACACUCCCGACAACUCGACGGCUAACGGUACCGCCUCCUCCUCCACGAAUAGCACUGGAACCCGGCUGACCAAACUGUCAAAGGCCGCAAAAUGAACGUGACACUGGCUGGUGAAAUGAUGAGGCUAUAGAUGAACUGUUUCUUGUUUCUAUUUAAAUGAGAUCCUGAAUGAGUUAUUGGAUGAAAAGGUGUUAGAAGUCACCUCCCGAGGAUGGAAAGUCGACUAAGAACUUUGUCUAGUCGGCAGGCAAAUUAAAGACGCGUUUUUUUUUUCUUCCGGUUGAGCACGCCAAUGGCCACGAACUGGAAUGGUGUAGCUGAAAUGGUUGGCAGCGCAAGUUUGUAUAGUGGUUGUUUGUGAUGCAUUUUUGCACUUCUCUGUUUUGUUUUCCCGUCUUUCUUUUGUUUCAUAUGGCCCACGUUAUGUUCAGGGCAUGGUUGUUCAAUGCCACUGCGCCAUGUUAGUUGUCGAGAGUUGAAGGAUGCAAGCUUCUAGGCACUCUGUAUGAUACUUGAAUAGAAAUUUGAUCCGACUGUCACGAAUGCCUAAGGCUAAGCGCAGUGCGGCCAGCUCGCCCGAAAGCUCGGCUUCUAAGGUAAGCAUGAUUUCGCAGCCAAGCAGGAGGAGGUCAGUAAAACUGACUGCAUCGGGAGUAGCGUCGGGAGUAGCAAUCAUCCUAUAUAGGUAAACGACGUUUAUAGUGUGCCUAUAGUAUCCAAUAUUGAAAUGUCACCCACGUCAGUCCACAUUUUCACUUCACCUUCUUUUUUGCGUUUAUUUCUUCGGCUGCCUACCGCAAGAUGUGUGUGAAUGGUUAAAUGAACUCGCCUCAGCAGAUCGCAUGUAACUACACCCUCAAGCGGCGAAGCAUGUGAAAGUGAUGCCCAAGUUUAUUAUUAACUCCGUUCUUUUUUUUUCUGCUCUAGAAGCUAAACCCACGACCAAAUAAUUGCUAGUUGUUACAAUUCUUCAGCAGACGAAGUGUCAUAAGCACCCAUGGCGCCAAGUUGUGCGAAUUUGAAGCAUUGGCUGCGCCUUCGAUGUCUCACUUUCAUUCUGUCUCCUGGAAAGUCUUGUUCUGAACAUGUUGCGUCGCUCUCUGGCUUGAGGUAGUUAUUGAGAGGCAUCACGACUUGGAGUGAAUCCUUGCAGCUCCUACUUUGUAUUAUACCUUACAAGCGAUCCCCAGUCGCCAUUACUGGGCCUGCUUUACGAUGUGUUGUUGAUACCAUAUUGCAAAUAAAAUGUUGUUAUGCGCU